AACGUAGGACACAAGCGUUAUCCGGAGUUACUGGGCGUAAAGAGCGCGUAGGCGGUUUGAUAAGUUCGCUAUGAAAGCACCUGGCUAAACUGGGUGAGGCUGGCGGAUACUGUCAGGCUAGAGUGAGACAGAGGCAGAUGGAAUUCCGCGUGUAGUGGUGAAAUGCGUAGAGAUGCGGAGGAACACCAGUGGCGAAGGCGGUCUGCUGGGGUCUCAACUGACGCUGAGGCGCGAAAGCGUGGGGAGCAAACGGG
rnacentral:rRNA from 1 species